CAAUCAUGUUGGGUGUUGCUCCUCACGAAGAAUAAUGGCUGCACUCCGUGACCACAAACACCUCAGUACCUGAGCAUGUGGUAGAGACUCCAGAAGGCAGUGGGGAGAGUGUUGGCCUGCGAAGCCCACAGCAUGCACACAUGGGUCCGGGCCUUUCCACGCUCAUCCAGCUGCAUGCUAUCAAAGGCAUCCAUCCUGCGCUUGAUGAGGGCAGAGAUGCUUUGGUGGCGUUGCAGCCGAACAUGGUGGAAUUUCUCAGCCAGGGCCUCGCGUGCCAGCCAAGCACGUACACACAGAUGGAUGGGCAGCCCUGCUGCCAUUUUGGGGAAGGCAUGGUCAAAAACCAAGAAGUCAUGGGCCACCUGGCGCAUGCAUGGAUUAGCCUGGGCAGAUCUGUUAUCUCCUUUCUCCAACAUGCCCACCUCUUGCCCAAAGAGAGUGAGGAACCCUGCCUCAAACAUGAUACGAUAAGAGAAAUCCUGGAGCCCCUCCUCCUCCCAGUCUUCACCCUGAGGAAGGUUUUGUCUCAACACAGCCUGCAGGUUACCCAAAAUGCUCUCAGUCAACUCUGUGAGUGAUGAUCCCUGCAGUGUUUGACGAAAUAAGGAAUGGACUUCUCUGUAACUGCUUGUAUAUGCAGGUGCUGUAAAGUCAGCAUGACCAAAGACCUGAGUCAUAGUAAGAGAGAACAGAGAAAGGAAAUAGUAAGUCAAUCUUGCAAAAUUCUGACAUUACUAUACUGUACAGAACAUGUGCAGGCCUGUCUGUUCUGUAAGCCUACUCAGUAUGUUGAGAGAGUUUCAGCCAGCUAUAGCCUACCUAAUUGCUGAAAUUGGCCACUGUCCCGUAGUCAUUUAAUUAGGUAAAAGUUGAGUGGGGAAAGACUUUUUGUCAAGGUGAUAAUUAACUUGCAGAGGAAAUGCAAAAGCAGGCAAUGUGAUGUUCAGUGAGGAUUAUUCACGGUCAUUUCAUUCAGGCUUAAAGGUCUGUGUAACAUUUUCAACUCGGCAUUAGCCUACCCGCUGAGAGAAGCCGAUGGCGAACUUCUGGAAGUCCAAGUUUUUCCCUUGUCGAACAACGGCCGGGAAAGAAAACGGAUCUGUAAUAAAUGUGAAAUACUUUCCGGCUAUUUUACAUGUAAAAGCUUUUCCACACUUCUUCUCUGUCUCCCGUAGAAAAGCCAAUGGGUUUCUGCCGUAAUCUAAUGCGACCCCAAGAAACGGGAUCCAGCCUGCUUCUAACGGAGGCUCACCGGGACGCCUGAAGAAAUUGAAACAAAAACAGUCCUCUGAAUUGUAACAAAAAUGCACUGAACUCAAAAUGGCAAAUGUAUUCAGAAGAACUGGUACAAUGAAGCGUAAAUAAUUAGCACGUGAGGAAGAACGUGAAACAGUGCGUCCUCGUUUACAAGGCUACACUUUCAACCUUUCUUUAUCAAAAUAGACUCGUAGGGAUCUACAAGUGCAGUCUUGUUAGUUACAUUUAAAGCUAUGAUAGCUACUGAUGACUUCUAAAAUCCUUGCAGCUGUGUCAUAUCACAACCUGAAUAGACUACAACAGAGCUACUUUGAAACUUUACACACAUUUCGCCAACUUAUUAGCUUUUGUAAAACGAAACUCUCGUUCUCACCUUUUCCUGGGCUCAAGAAACAAACAAAAGAGAAAUAGGGGCAAUAAAAUGGUUAAAAUCCCAAUAAGUAAGGCAGACAUGGCUGGGAAACGACAUGUAGCCUAACCUGGUCUUCGUCUUCUUGUUUCGUCUCACCGUCUCCUUCACCCUGUGUGUGAGACGGGAUGCUCCUCCCUGACAGUAGUCGCGCAGGAGGUCUGUUGCUGUUUCGGGAAAUGGGGCUGCAAAUGCCAAGACCACAACCACAACCACAUAUUUUUUCUUGGGAACUUGGUCUGUUGCAAACAUUUGCAAUAACAUCGACCAUUGUCUAUUCAAUUAGGGGUAUUAUUAAAGGUUUUGAGUGUCAAUCAA